rnacentral:rRNA from 1 species
GGGGGAACUAACAUAUCAAUAAGCGGAGGAAAAGAAACUAACAAGGAUUCCCCUAGUAACUGCGAGUGAAGCGGGAAAAGCUCAAAUUUAAAAUCUGGUGGCCUUUGGUCAUCCGAGUUGUAAUUUAGAGAAGCGUCUUCCGCGCUGGACCGUGCACAAGUCUCCUGGAAUGGAGCGUCAUAGAGGGUGAGAAUCCCGUCUUUGGCACGGACCCCAGGGCUUCUGUGAUGCGCUCUCGAAGAGUCGAGUUGUUUGGGAAUGCAGCUCAAAAUGGGUGGUGAACUCCAUCUAAAGCUAAAUAUUGGCGAGAGACCGAUAGCGAACAAGUACCGUGAGGGAAAGAUGAAAAGCACUUUGGAAAGAGAGUGAAACAGUACGUGAAAUUGUUGAAAGGGAAACGCUUGAAGUCAGUCGCGUCGCCCGAGACUCAGCCUCGCCUCGGCUUGGUGUACUUCUCGGCUGACGGGUCAGCAUCAAUUUYGCCCCUCGGAUAAUGGCGAGGGAAAUGUGACACCUUUACGGGUGUGUUAUAGUCCCGCGUCGCAUGCGAGGGUCGGGAUUGAGGAACUCAGCACGCGCUUCGGCGUCGGGGCUUUGCCCACGAUACGUGCUUAGGAUGUUGGCGUAAUGGCUUUAAACGACCCGUCUUGAAACACGGACCAAGGAGUCUAACAUGCCCGCGAGUGUUCGGGUGGAAAACCCGUGCGCGAAAUGAAAGUGAAAGUUGGGACCUCUGUCGUGGAGGGCACCGACGCCCGGACCAGACCUUCUGUGACGGAUCUGCGGUGGAGCGUGUAUGUUAGGACCCGAAAGAUGGUGAACUAUGCCUGAAUAGGGUGAAGCCAGAGGAAACUCUGGUGGAGGCUCGUAGCGAUUCUGACGUGCAAAUCGAUCGUCAAAUUUGGGUAUAGGGGCGAAAGACUAAUCGAACCAUCUAGUAGCUGGUUCCUGCCGAAUUCCCCCUCA